GUGUGGUAACGUACAGAAACAACCUUUGGUAUCGUGCAAUUCUUAUUGGCUUUCUUUUGCUGACUUGAACUACUCCAAGAUUUGCAUCAGCCAAUUUUCUACAAUAUUUCGUUCCCUUGGAUAUUGCUUGGACCCCAACAUACCUGCGUGCGAAUGAAUUCUCUCUUCAUUUAAAAAUGGCGACAAUUUUUUACGAAUGCAUGAGUGGAAUAUUCAGUUCUUCAUGUUAUUUUGUGAUCUAUGGAUUCUUGGUUUACGUCACAAUUCCGCUGAUUUUCAAGAUUUAUCCAAAAAUCGUCUUUGAAGGAUUAUUUCUCAACAGAGUCUGCCCACCUGUAUGGUUACUGAAGCUGAACAAACCAGACAAAGCCUACAAUCUUAAAGAGAGCAAGAACUGCUAUGUGAAGUCUUCGAGUGGAAGUACUUUAGGCGUUUGGCAUAUUCCGCCAGUUCCUCAGUACGAUACUCCAGAGGUCAAAUCAGGGUCAUUACAAGACGCUGAGAAAAUCGUCAUUUAUUGCCAUGGCAACUCGUUUCAUCGUGGUUUCAAGCAUCGAAGAGAUUUAUAUUCAGAGCUGCAGAAAUCAGGAUUCCACAUCAUAGCUUUUGACUACAGUGGGUUUGCGGACUCUACCGGUCAGCCGAGCCCAACAAGAGUCGUGGAGGAUGCAAUUAGCGUGUAAAAGUGGACGGUCAAGCAGCUCCAGUAAGAAGAUGUGACAAUCGUGCUUUGGGGUCAUUCACUCGGCACUUACAUCAGCACAAGGGCGCUAUUGCUCAUGUACGACCAGAAAGAUGGCACUCGACUCCCUGACUGUCUGAUACUUGAAGCUCCGUUCACGAAUACAUACGAUGCCGCAGACUGCUUUCCACUAUCUAAGUAUUUCUAUCUGCUCUAUCCCUUCAUGAGGUCUCAAGUUCACAAGAAUAUCAAACAAUAUGACGUAGAGCUCAGGACGGAGAAGUAUCUGCCGACAAUAAAGGCUCCUGUUAUAAUCAUACAUGCUAAAGAUGAUCAGAGAAUCGACAUUCAUCUCGGUGAGACUCUGUACGAAAAGACGACAUCUGACCCCAUGACAAAAUCUCCUCACAUUCGUUUCAUUCGAAUGCACAAGGAUUACGGAGUGAAACACUACACUGCUAAGCACCCUGAGAUAAGGCAGUUAGUGCAUGAUUUCAUGGCUGAGGUAGCAAAGGUCAAAGGUGAUCAGGAACAAGGAACUCCAGAAAGAAGACGUGACAAUCGUGCUCUGGGGUCAUUCACUCGGCACGUACAUCAGCACGAGGACGCUAUCGCUUAUGUACGACCAGAAAGAUGGCACUCGACUCCCCGACUGUCUGAUACUUGAAGCUCCGUUCACGAAUACAUACGAUGCCGCAGACUGCUUUCCACUUUGUAAGUAUUUCUAUUUGCUCUAUCCCUUCAUGAGGUCUCAAGUUCACAAGAAUAUCAAACAAUAUGACAUUGAGCUCAGGACUGAGAAGUAUCUGCCGACAAUAAAGGCUCCUGUUAUGAUUUUACAUGCGAAAGAUGAUCAGAGAAUGGACAUUCAUCUAGGCGAGACUUUGUACAAGAAGACGACCUCUGACCUCACGACAAAAUCUUCUUACAUUCGCUUCAUUCGAAUGCAGUGAAGCACUAUACUGCUAAGCAUCCUGAGAUAAGGCAGUUAGUGCAUGAUUUCAUGGUUGAAGUAGCAAAGGUCAAAGGUGAUCAGGAACAAAGAUGUAAAAAUAGAUUUGAACUGCGGCCCACGGGCCAGUUACGGCUAACCGAAGUGUUUCAUCCGGCCCACUUGUGCCUAUAUCAAUUAUGACUAUGGUUUUCAUGGCUAUAAAUUUGCGUUGGAUCGAUGAAAAUAACGAAUCAUCGCCUAAAAUAUAGAUCACAUAUUAUUUGCACCUGAAUAGAAUUGUGCCACUUGGUACACUGGCUGUUUGUUGUACAUUAGCUGUUAUGCUUGUUAUUUGCAAAUGAAAUGUUUUGAGUCUCCAGUGACCAAAUCUAUUAUUUGUAACUGGCCCACUGAGAAAAAUAAUUGCCCGCCCCUGACUUAGAAUAUCAUUUCAUAUUGGUCAAAGUAACUUAAUUAAUCAUAGUCUAUUAUUAUGUGUACCAGGUUAGGGUCAGGCCAUAAUUUCAGGUACAAAUGCUAUGGGAUUCACUUGUCUAGUUCUCGAAUUCGUAAUAGAACUAAAAUAAGGAAAAUUGGAAUAAAAUUAUGGCCUAACCCUUUCCUGGUACACAUACUCCGGGAGUACCCUAUUUUCCUGUGAAGUUACAAAGGACAACUACUGUUAUUAACGCCCAGCAUUAUAACCGUUCAUGUUCAUUCACUCACUACACUGUGGGGUAUCUAUUGAUUUUAAAUCAAACUUAGCUUCCCCAUUGUUCUGGCACUGUCCCAAUUUCAUUUAUAUCUCUCUAUCGCAAACAGACCCAACAUUUGAAACCAAUAUUUAUGUGCAUGCAAUUGUGUUUCUUGUUAUAGUUGUAAAAUGCUUGUCUGAAGAAGUCUGACCUCGGUCAGA